rnacentral:rRNA from 1 species
UACGUAGGGUGCAAGCGUUGUCCGGAAUUAUGGGGCGUAAAGAGCUCGUAGGCGGUUUGUCGCGUCUGCUGUGAAAAUCCAGGGCUUAACCCUGGACCUGCAGUGGGUACGGGCAGACUGGAGUGCGGUAGGGGAGAUCGGAAUUCCUGGUGUAGCGGUGAAAUGCGCAGAUAUCAGGAGGAACACCGGUGGCGAAGGCGGAUCUCUGGGCCGUAACUGACGCUGAGGAGCGAAAGCAUGGGGAGCGAACAGG